rnacentral:rRNA from 1 species
UGGGGAAUAUUGGACAAUGGGGGGAACCCUGAUCCAGCCAUGCCGCGUGUGUGAAGAAGGCCUUAUGGUUGUAAAGCACUUUAAGCGAGGAGGAGGGUACUGGUAUUAAUACUACCAGGUACUGGACGUUACUCGCAGAAUAAGCACCGGCUAACUCUGUGCCAGCAGCCGCGGUAAUACAGAGGGUGCGAGCGUUAAUCGGAUUUACUGGGCGUAAAGCGUGCGUAGGCGGCUAAUUGAGUCGGAUGUGAAAUCCCCGAGCUUAACUUGGGAAUUGCAUUCGAUACUGGUCAGCUAGAGUAUGGGAGAGGAUGGUAGAAUUCCAGGUGUAGCGGUGAAAUGCGUAGAGAUCUGGAGGAAUACCGAUGGCGAAGGCAGCCAUCUGGCCUAAUACUGACGCUGAGGUGCGAAAGCGUGGGGAGCAAACAGG